CUCCAUUCUCUUCCAGCACCCUAGCUAACCCACAGGGGAGUUCCUCACUCACUUCAAUGAGAAAACUGAAGUGGGUGGGGAAGCAAAGAGUUGUCACCUUUCUGUAUCUGCUCUGAUUUGUCAAUUACACCCUUCCAGUCCUCAUUUCUCCCAUCUAAUCAUUUACCCAGGCCUGGAAAAUUUGCCUUUAAUAUUUCUGGAAUGUACCCAUUGCUUCCAACCCCCUCAUCAAGGCCACAGAUAUGAAAGGAGAGAGGUACCAGAUGUGGGCAGAGGUUAGUUGUGUCUAGGGAAUGCAAAGUGUUUCAGUACAUCUGGCACACAGGACCACUCAUGGUAGAAGCUGUGUCUACAUGUCCGGCUGUAUUGCUUGCUAGCCCCCUCACCCUGUGCACACAGUUAGCCACCUGUGGCCACCUGCUGGCAUUGCUCUUCUCUACCAGGCCUGCCAUGGCCUCAGGUGCCCUUAGACUUGUGUGCUCUCUGCCUGGAGUCCUUAUCGUCAGCUCCUUAAAUUCUAUUCUUCCUUCAGGACUCAGCUCAGAUGUUACCCGCUCUGAGAAGUCUUUUCUGACUCUCACAGGCCAUCUUAGGUGCUACCUCUAAGUCCCUUCACCUUUACCACGAUUCAUUAAGAGCAGGAUCUUGUCUUCUCCAUUCCUGGGACUCCUACCGCUAUGUACAGUGCCUACCAUGACAUAGGGAUUCAAUGCAUCGUUCAUUAAGAAGUAAGUAGACGUGUAGUCAUAAGUCCCAGCUCUGCUGCUCCCUAGCUGUGUGAACUUGAGACAUUCACCUAGUCUUUCUGAAAUUUAGGGUUUGCAUUUUUAAGAGAAAUUUCUAAAUAGUACCAUUUGUUUUCCAUCUCCAUCUCUAAUGACCUAACAAAAACCGUGCAUAGAAAACAUCAGCUCAAAGGUGGGCUCCUUGAUGAGGUAACUGGAGAGCUUUGCUGAGUAAGGUGGUGGAAUUAAAUUUUUUGAAGAAUUCUUCUUCCCUCUUGGGUUAGAUUUGCAAGAUUAUGCAUCAUGAUUGGAAGACAGAGUAGGUCUUUGUCUUGCCAGAGAUCAUUUUUACAGUGUAAGACUUGAACGUGAUCUUAACUAAGUGCUCAUCAGUCCAGUGAACCCAUCUCAUUGUAGAGGUAGAGAAACAGAAGUCUCUGGAUCUGAAAGUUUUAUAAAUGUUUUUGUAGAAUCUCAUACAAAAUGUACUAUUACCAGCUAUAAACCAAAAAGGCAGGCUCUUUAGCAGCGGGGAAAAUACUACCUUUGUAGUUUGCAGUGUUUGACA
rnacentral:lncRNA from 1 species